GGCCAAUGAUGCAUAAAAAUUGUCCGUACCAUCUGAGGAUCUUUACUAAGUCUCCUUUGAUGUGAAUUCGCCUGUAUUUUCUGAGGUCU
rnacentral:snoRNA from 1 species